CGCUCCUGCGGCAUAUGGAGGUUCCCAGGCUAGGGGUCUAAUCGGAGCUGUAGCCGCCAGCCUAUGCCAGAGCCACAGCAACUGGGGAUCUGAGCCGCGUCUGUGCCCUACACUACAGCUCACAGCAAUGCUGGAUCCUUAACCCACUGAACGAGGUCAGAGAGCGAACCUGCAACCUCAUGGUUCCUAGUUGGAUUCGUUAACCACUGAGCCACAAUGGGAACUCCCUGUCAUAAUUUUUAAGUUAAAAAUUGCAUUUGUACCCACAGAAGCCAGUCUCUAAACAAUGAUACAAGUAAUGCAGGUCUGAAGACAUCCUUGCUGCACUAAAACUUGUAUUUACAUGUUCCAUUGUACUUAAUUCCUAGAUGAAAUGCUAACCUUUAUGAUGGGGCUCUCAUUGGGAAAUAUAAUUUGCUCAGCUAAAUAAAUAUGUAUAUUUUAGGACUUCUUACUACAUCACACUUAAAAGUCUACUGUGAAUUUAAAAACUCGCCUUGGCCCUGGAAACAGCCUUUGAAAGGAUGCCAUGUGCCUCAGGCAAGUGGCUGGAUGGGCAGUAUAUAGCUCACGCUUACUUCUUUUUAAACUAUAAUGAUCUCACAGAUAUGAAAACAGGUUAGUCCCAGAAGGGAGAGAACAACUCCAAAAAGACACUAGAAAUAGAACAAAAAUAAGGUUUUGAAACCGAUUUGAUGAUUUUCAGGAAUGCCAUAUUAUGGUCACUGUACAUAAUUUUUAUCUAUUCUUUUGAUUAGUGGUUUUUCCUCUCUGGCUUUUGAAACUUGGCUCUUCCUUGUGGCUCCAGGGCUUAACCGAAAGGUAGACAUUUGAAAGUACAUAUUUUCAUUCAGUGUCCCCUAGCAUAGGAGGUAGACUUUAUAGAUGAUAUAUGAUAAAUACAAAGCACAGCUUUGAAAAAAAAUUUUUUUUGGUCAAAUCCCUUUUUCCAGACUCUCCAGGCUUUCGAGUUUUAAUUUUCCUGCACGCUAUUUCUCGGAAAACCAUCAGCUAGAGAAUUUGUGCCCAAGUGAAGGCAUGAGCAGCUGAAGGUGAAAAUAUUUCAAAGGGCCCCUGACUUCAUGGCCAGGAAGAAAUCAGUAGAGAAGCUGAUUGCGCUGUCUUGUCCACUGACAGUCAUUUGGGCAGGUAGACCUUAUAAGCAUUUGUAGAAAUCUCACUCUAAAAAAUAGAGGGAGCAAAAAAAUUUUUUUUUUUUUUGGUCUUUUUGCCGUUACUAGGGCUGCUCCCGUGGCAUAUGGAGGUUCCCAGACUAGGGGUUGAAUCAGAGAUCAGAGCUGUAGCCGCUGGCCUACACCACAGCCACAGCAAUGUGGGAUCCGAGCCAUGUCUGUGACCUACACCACAGCUCAUGGCAACACCGGAUCCUUAACCCACUGAGUAAGGGCAGGGACCGAACCCGCAACCUCAUGGUUCCUAGUCGGAUUCGUUAACCACUGAGCCACGACGGGAACUCCAAAAAAAAUUUUUUUUGCCUGUGAUUCCCUGACUUUUCUCUAUUAAUAUAAAAUUUGACUCAGCUCAACUCUCCAUAUUUGACUAAGUGAAUAUCCUGCGGUAAAAAGGUGAUAUUUUACUCUAUCUUAACUGGAAGUUGCAUUUAUCAUUUUAAUUUCAAUCAAACAUUUACUCUUUUUCUACAGAAUAUAAUCAAUGACUGAAUUUUUGCCAAGUGUCACCUUCAAAUCAUCCCAUGAGGAAAAGGACCUCUUUUCACGGGGCCCUUGAUUUUAAUGCCUGUUUCAUUAGUAGUUAAACAUGCAUUUGUAUUAAAUUCCAUUGAUUUUAUUUUGGGAGGGAGGAUUUAGUUGAACUUUUUUGGGAUAUAUUCGUUUAUGUUUAUUGAUAAAGCGAAAGGAAUUUGAAAGGAAUUUUUAUGUCAUGAAAUAAUCUAGCCUGAACAUGAUGAAACAAACACUUGGAUAAACAUCAUAUGGAGAAAAGAGAGGAAAUCCAACUUUUCAGAGCUUCUAGAUAGUUCAGGGAUAGAUAAUCCAAAGAGGAUACAUCAGAAAAUGUUCUUAUCUUGGGGUAAAGCCUGAAAGUAUGACUGUUCUUUUAGCUCUAAAAGUGUGUCAAGUGUUUCCAAAGGAAAAAUUCAGAGAAAUGCUAUUAAUGAUCUGCUUCAGAGAGAUGAGGCGAGAACCGGGAAGAAAGGAGGAGGAAGGAGGGAAGACGAGGACUUGCCUCAAAACGCAUGGGCACCAGAAGGAUUGGGGGCGCUUAAGAUGGUAAACGGAUUGAGACUGGGCUCUGGGCUCCCAGUAAGUGGCCCUUGUUCUGCUGGAGCUUGGAGUCCAGGGAAGCGGUGCAGAGAGAGAUCAGCUCUCUCUGUCCUUUGUGGCCACACUCCAGUGAGACAAGCGGAGGGCACAAGAGGAGCAGAGGAUGGAAUGCAGGCCCGUAGUUAGGAGGCUGUGGUGGCCAAGGAAGUCUUUCUAGGGACAGAGACAUCUAAGAUGAGACGUUAGAAUGAGCAGGAGUGGGAAUGGGGAAAGGGCAAAAGCUGAAGAUGGGAGCAAGGGUCUCACAUCUGAAGAGUUACAGGGGAGAGGUGGGUGAGCAUGGGUGCAAGGAAGAGAGAGGUAGGAGAUUGCUGGGACAGGCUGGGUGAUCAUCGAGUCUUGCGAGAGCAUCUGGGCUGCGUCCUCAGGCCCCCGGGAACCCAAAGGAGUGGUGAUCACCCUAGGUGUGGUGCGGAGAAAGGACUGGAGGGGGAAAGCCUGGGGGCGGGGACUCGCAUAGAAUCGGGAGAGAGGGGGUACGUCCCUGUGCUAGGGGAAGAGCCCCGUGGGUGCAGAGUAGAGGGAGACACUAGGGGAAGGGUCCUGUGGGUGCAGAGCAGAGGGAGCCAAAGUGAAGACAGGAGCCAGGGGACUGGCCGCCUGUGGCAAAUGAAAGAGAGGAGGGAAGGGAAGACACUGCCAUUGACGGUAUCCAGGAACGAAGUAGAAACAGGUGUGAAGGGGCUCAGAUAAGCACUUCAGCUUUGAACAUGAUGAGCUGCAGAUUUCUGUAGGACAUGUCAAGAGUGUGUAGAUAACCAAGAAUCUUCCAGAAAGAUCUGGAAUGCAGUGAGAUCUGAGAGAUCUGAGGAGGAGACAGAAAGUUGCCAGUUCUUCGUAUCUAGGUGGUAGUGGAUGAGAAUGUCUACAUGAGAUCAGAAUAGUCCCCCCAAGGAACAAUGGGGUUCGAGGGUGAGAGAGACAGAGGGACGAGCAGGGAGCUGCCUCCCACUGGGUCGGACGCUGCAGGGGCGUCACGUAGAGAAGGACAGGGUGUCCAGUGGACUCCGCAACAAGGACGCCACCGGCAACACGAGGAGCAGUUUCUGUGGAGGGACGACAGGGAGGACGUCAGGCUGUAAAGUCAGAAGGAAUGAGUAGGAAUGGAGCAGAGAGACAGCAGCUGCCGGGGGAACGGGAUCCAGACAGGUUUAUUUAAUGCGGACUCCAUUCAGACAUAGCCAACUCUUCUCGGAGAGGGGCUUUUAAAUAAAUAAUUGAACGAGUAUGUAUAUGUGGGACUUAUUAAGUAGACGCAUUCAUUCUAAAUGCCGUUCCAACAGUAAUUCACUUAAUUCUCGCAGCAAUCGCUACAAAUUUUGUUGUAACUUCCGUCCGUUUGAAAUGAGGAACCUGAGGACCAGAGAGGUUAACAGUAACUUGUUUGAGGUCCCAUGGUUUCAAAGUGGUGGAGCCAGGAUUUGAACCCAGGCACUCUUGGCUCCAGUAUCUAUGUAAGAUUGUGAAGAAGAUGCUUCAUCUAUUUUGGCAGCUCACAUACAUUUUAAAGGAGAAGAGAUUUUACUUUAUUUCUAUCUUCACGUGUGUUUGAAUACAGGGACCACGGGGGAAAGACCAAAGACUUGGAAGCCUUGGGCUCAAGGCUUGAUGCUGCCAUAGAUACUUGAAAGGGACUGGGCACGUCCCCUCAGGUGGGCUCAAGGUUUUUAUUUGCGAAAUGUGGGAUGAGGAUGGGGAGAGUGAGAGGCUGGGUGGCGGCAUGUGUGUGUGUGUGUGGGGGGGGGCAAUUCUCUAAGAUUCUUUUCAACUCUGAGAUACUAUUAAUCAAUCCAAUAGCAUGGAAUUACAGUUUAAGCUGGUAUAAAAGGAAACAGUUUCACGGGAAUCCACUGUAUUUAAUACUCUGCUCCUUAAACUUUGUUAAGAAUAAAGGAAGGAUGGAUGAGAACACCAUGUUUGAGGAAAGGGAGAUGGUGAACUCGCGUGGAAAACUGCCAUCCAGGAGAAAAGGAAUGGGAUAAAAACCCAGCUAGAGACAAGGUGACACAGGAUCUGAUAGACAAGACUGUUACUUUGAAAUGAUCCGAGCUCAGGGUCAGUUUUGAUGAAGAAGCAUCGGGCCAAGAAGGGGAAUGGCAGACUUGUUAGCAAGGCUGAAACAGGGGCCCUGUCAAGGUUGGAAGAAUACCCACUGUCUAGGCUGGGAGGGAUCUGAGGUCAAGCGUACAUCUUUGGCUUCUCCAAUUAAA
rnacentral:lncRNA from 1 species